rnacentral:rRNA from 1 species
AACGAACGCUGGCGGCAUGCCUAACACAUGCAAGUCGAGCGCCCGUAGCAAUACGGGAGCGGCGCACGGGUGAGUAACGCGUGGGAACCUGCCCAGAGGUUCGGGACAACCGCGGGAAACUGCGGCUGAUACCGGAUGAUACCUGAGGGUCAAAGAUUUAUCGCCUUUGGAGGGGCCCGCGUCGGAUUAGGUAGUUGGUGGGGUAACGGCCUACCAAGCCUGUGAUCCGUAACUGGUCUGAGAGGAUGACCAGUCACACUGGGACUGAGACACGGCCCAGACUCCUACGGGAGGCAGCAGUGGGGAGUAUUGGACAAUGGGGGCAACCUUGAUCCAGCAAUGCCGCGUGGGUGAUGAAGGCCUGCGGGUUGUAAAGCCCUUUCGGCGGGGACGAUGAUGACGGUACCCGCAGAAGAAGCCCCGGCUAACUUCGUGCCAGCCGCCGCCGUAAUAC